rnacentral:rRNA from 1 species
GUAGCGGCGAGCGAAACGGGAAGAGCCCAAACCAACAAGCUUGCUUGUUGGGGUUGUAGGACUCCAAUAUGGUAGUCUGUUAGUAUAGUUGAAGGAUUUGGAAAAUUCCGCUAAAGAGGGUGAAAGCCCCGUAGACGAAAUGCUGACAACACCUAGGAGGAUCCUGAGUACGGCGGAACACGAGAAAUUCCGUCGGAAUCCGCGGGGACCAUCCCGCAAGGCUAAAUACUCCCUAGUGACCGAUAGUGAACCAGUACCGUGAGGGAAAGGUGAAAAGCACCCCGGAAGGGGAGUGAAAUAGAUCCUGAAACCGUGUGCCUACAACAAGUCAAAGCUCGUUAAUGAGUGAUGGCGUGCCUUUUGUAGAAUGAACCGGCGAGUUACGAUUGCAUGCGAGGUUAAGUCGAAGAGACGGAGCCGCAGCGAAAGCGAGUCUGAAUAGGGCGAAUGAGUAUGUAGUCGUAGACCCGAAACCAUGUGAUCUACCCAUGUCCAGGUUGAAGGUGCGGUAAAACGCACUGGAGGACCGAACCCACGUACGUUGAAAAGUGCGGGGAUGAGGUGUGGGUAGCGGAGAAAUUCCAAACGAACUUGGAGAUAGCUGGUUCUCUCCGAAAUAGCUUUAGGGCUAGCCUCGGAAUUGAGAAUGAUGGAGGUAGAGCACUGUUUGGACUAGGGGCCCAUCUCGGGUUACCGAAUUCAGAUAAACUCCGAAUGCCAUUCAUUUAUAUCCGGGAGUCAGACUGCGAGUGAUAAGAUCCGUAG